CAGCAGCCGCGGUAAUACAAAGGGUGCAAGCGUUAAUCGGAAUUACUGGGCGUAAAGCGUGCGUAGGCGGUGAGUUAAGUCUGCUGUGAAAUCCCCGGGCUCAACCUGGGAAUGGCAGUGGAUACUGGCUCGCUAGAGUGUGUCAGAGGAUGGUGGAAUUCCCGGUGUAGCGGUGAAAUGCGUAGAGAUCGGGAGGAACAUCAGUGGCGAAGGCGGCCAUCUGGGACAACGCUGACGCUGAGGCACGAAAGCGUGGGGAGCAAACAGGAUUAGAUACCCCCGUAGUCCCUGUCUCUUAUAC
rnacentral:rRNA from 1 species